rnacentral:misc_RNA from 1 species
UAAUAAGUGUUUUACUGGCACUUAUUUAAAUCCAUAUCCACCUUGUGUGCAAUGUCAGUCGAUCUUCUUUUAUUGGAGGAUCGACCCAAACAUCAACCUUUAUCUUUUAACUCUUUGUCUGAAAAAUAUUAUGAAUAAACAAUUCAAAAUA